CGAUGAUUACAUUUUAUAAUGUUGUGUUGCAACUACCUUCUUGGGAAGGCUUCACUUGCAAAAUAGACUGUCUCAAUUAUGGUAUUAAAGAAAGUCAUUACACAGCCAUAUUAACUGAGCAAACUUUUAUUAUCAGUUGAAGAGAAUAGGCCAUUUAAUUAGGUGACCAGUUCAGGAGUGGGUGUAAGAAAUCAUCAGACUCAGAACAUGACAUCAUAACCAGUCCAAUAAUGUUAAUGAACAGUAACACAUACCAGUGUUUAAAAUAUAAAAAACAGCAAUCAGCAGAAAUUCUUAAUCAUCAAUUACAAUGUCAAUAGUUUCACAACCUUACAUGUUUUUUAAAGGUGUAAGUUUUUAACCAGUUCAAUAAAAUGUCAUAUGCAUGUCAGAAUGAAUUAACAAUAAUAAUUAAAAUAGUGAAUCAUAACUUUAGUUUUCAGCCACUUUAACACAGAUAGGUAGUGCUGAACGGUAGCAUGAUUCUGAUUUCAUGACAGGCGAGAACAGGAUACUAUCCCAUUACGCUGCACCAGAACUUUGGUGGUGUCAUUUCCGGGAAGUGCAUGCUCAGUCCGCGAUCAAAUGACAGCUCCACCAUCAGAUUUUCUUUGUUGCUUGGCAACGUGACGCUUCCCAUCUCCACUCUAAAGGGGUCCCGUAUCCAGUCGUCUUGUCUCUUGUUCUCCUCCGGGAAGUAGUCGCACCCUGCAACCCAACAAAUGGUUUGUGGGUGAGAAAAUACUUCAAAAUGAAGAUCCUGCCAUGGACAAGAUUGGGUGGACAUAAAGUGGAAAGGAGGGGAAAUAACUCCCACCAUGCAACAGGACAACUUCAGCUGCGGGGUCUUUGUAAUGCAGAUGGCCAAGGAAGUUGCACAGAACUUCCCAAAUGGAUAUAGAACCUUCACAAAAACACAGAGCAGCUGUGAAAAGAAAUGGCUGAGGAUAUACUAAAAAUGCCUGGUAUGUAAUGAAAUUUAAUUCAAAGUAAAUGUAAAUUAUUUUUAUGUAGUUCAUGCCUAUGAUUUCAGAGUUCAACAAAGGCAACGACUGCUCCAUGUGUGCCAUUGAUAAAGUACCUGGCUGUUGCCCAAAGACUGACUGGGUUAGUAACUUUAUUUAACAUGUUUAUAAUCUUUUCAUAACAGACAGCAUGUAAGACAAUUUAUGAUAACACAAUGGAUGGCUAAUUUGUCAUACUGCAUUGACAUUUGAUAUGAUUUGUAACGUGUUACGCUUUGUUCUGUUUUAGAUUGAAUGUUUUGCAUGCCAAUGGUGGUUCCAUGUGCUGUACCUAGGGAUGAAUACAAAUGAGUUCAAUUGGUGUGAAGAACACAAACUGGAAGUGAUGUCUUUGUUUAAAAUGUAUGCUAUACCCCAUCCACACUGAAGAGGCUCUGAAAUGUACAUCAACCAGGGAUAAAGAGGAAGUUAACACAAAUGUUUUGUACUUAUUUGACGUAAAGUCUGACAUUUUGGAAAAUAUUAAAUAUUCCAUUUUAAUUAAUUGAUUAUUUGGCCACCAUUAUUGUGGUUACAUGUUCAAUAUAUGUAUUGCCUGAACCCACUACAGCCUACCUUACUGGCUGUGCAGUUCAC
ensembl:lncRNA